GUGGGGAAUAUUGGACAAUGGGGGGAACCCUGAUCCAGCCAUGCCGCGUGUGUGAAGAAGGCCUUUUGGUUGUAAAGCACUUUAAGCGAGGAGGAGGCUACCGAGAUUAAUACUCUUGGAUAGUGGACGUUACUCGCAGAAUAAGCACCGGCUAACUCUGUGCCAGCAGCCGCGGUAAUACAGAGGGUGCAAGCGUUAAUCGGCUUUACUGGGCGUAAAGCGCGCGUAGGUGGCCAAUUAAGUCAACUGUGAAAUCCCCGAGCUUAACUUGGGAAGUGCAUUCGAUACUGGUUGGCUAGAGUAUGGGAGAGGAUGGUAGAAUUCCAGGUGUAGCGGUGAAAUGCGUAGAGAUCUGGAGGAAUACCGAUGGCGAAGGCAGCCAUCUGGCCUAAUACUGACACUGAGGUGCGAAAGCAUGGGGAGCAAACAGGAUUAGAAACCCUUGUAGUCC
rnacentral:rRNA from 1 species